rnacentral:lncRNA from 1 species
AUGUCACUGGCCAAGCCUCAACACAUUGACAGUGUGCUGCCGUAGGAUUUUGCAGGAUUCAGGCAGUGGUCACCCCUCCAUGGACCAUAUUCAAGAAAUAACUAGAGCUAUGUCUGUUCGACGAACAGAACAUCCGGGCUCCCUCAAGCCCACUUUUGGAAUAUGCCCCCUUUUUAUACAAAAGUGUGACACACCCCCCAAAAAAGAAAAAUUUUAUUUUAUGAUUUGACAGGCAAGCAUUCUGUCUAGCCGCUUUCCUGUACUGAAAGGGAAACAAAAACAAAGAAAUGUCCGUUACAGCUCGAUUUCUGUUAAUUACAUUUGCCUCCUGCUUUAUUAAAAUGUGGCCCCAACCUUGAAGAGGAGAAAAUUCUGGAUAUUUUUACUCGGUACAUGCUCUUGGGUGAGCUGUCCGAAAGCUAAAAAGAGAAGUAAAAUAAUUCGAAUCAUUUUUUGCGCAUGAAGGCCCCAAUUUAUAAAGUCAUGGCCCCACCCAUAAAGGGGUCAGAAAAAAAUGGCAUGAAGUGGUUUUGAACUUCUUGGGGUGUCUAUUAGUUAUCCCGAGGGUUUCAAAGAAUGUACCUGAAAAUGCAAGGGAGGUCAUUUUCGACUGUAAGCCCACUGACUAUGUCAAAAGUCAAAAACAUUUUCCAACAUGCAUUUUAUCCCCCUUUGUUUAAACAUUUUUUAGCACCAACUACUGGUACAGUUAGAUAGAUUACCCCAAAGAACCUCCGAUUCACAUGUACCGGAACUUUGAAUAAAUUGUAGCUGUUAAUUUAUUACGAAAGUCUGAUUUUCCCAUGUCUUAAGAAAAACAAUUUAACCCCGCCUACUUCUCUUAUAGGAGCAAUAUCUGGUUUUGAUAAUCUGCAAAUGGACAAUUCCACGCAAAAAAAAAGGAGCCUGCUGGGAAGUGGAAACGGUAUGAAAUCUUCCAAAAUGCAAGCAUUACAAUGUCACAUGUGGUGUCAAAUAAAAGGGGAAAACAUCAUCUUUCAUUUGAGUGGUGUGCCAUUGAGAUGGAAUGUAGUGAUUUUUGGUAAAGUGUGAUUUUGGGUAAAAAAAGGUUUUUUUUGGCAUAAAAUCAUGGAUUUUUGGUAGUCAUUUUGGCACCUUGUUUUAACAUGCAAAAUGUGACUGUAAUUGAGAGUUUUUGUGUUUAAGGCAGAGAGAAAGGUUCAUAUUAAAAAAAAAAGAGUUUCACUAUGUUGCAGUGCAUCAAACUCAGAUUUUAUGCCGUGUUAGAAACCAUGAAGAGGAAGUAAUGUGAGUGACGGUACCUCCCUGUAGUCUAAUGUUCCUUGUCUUUAUGUACUUUAUUCAAAUUGGGUUUUUGUGUGAUGAGUUUGCAUGAAAGGUAAAAUAAUGUUACUUCUGUGUUGCAGACUACAGUUUUAGGAGACUUUAAUGCGCCUAUCAAAAACCAUCUGAAAUAAUCUCGAGAUAAAUCAGUCAAGAAAAAUGGAUCUGUAAAGGAUAAUGCCCUAGGUACGCGACAUUCGUGGGUGAAAAUGGCCCGAGGGCUUCGCCCUCGGGCCAUUCUUACCACGAAUGGCGCGUUACCGAGCGGCAUUAUCCGACUUACACUCCACCUGUGACGUCCCCCUAUUGUUUCUAGCGCUACAUUAUUUUGCACGAAUGGAGCGAUUUUGUUUCAUACAAAGACACAAGCUUUGUCUUAUUGCAUAACUGUAAACUGCAUUAGUAUAAAUGGAACUGUAGCCUACAGAAUUGUACUGCGAAUAAGAAUAUGUUCUUACGUAACCAAUACAAUGCUGGAUUCUAGGCGCUUGGUAUGAAAUGCUAAACCUCGCCCAGGCACCAUGCAUUCGUUCUUGAAUAGUGUGCUGAUGACACGCAGUGUUUAGUCUCAAGACGUUGAGGAAAUAAUGCCGUACGUGGGGGAUACAGUGGAAUCAUAGCGGGCCAGGAAACCGUCUUUGAUAGUUGCUGAAACUAGCUCCGUGGAUAUAUCGGAUGAUAAUUUACUGGCCGCUUCACACUUUGCCUGGGACAUAUAAAAGUUCAUUUCGACACUCCAAAUGAAUAUGAAGAUUGCAUGUAUGAGUAUGAAGACUAUGGAUAGUGUCACGAAGAGGGUCCAAACUAGCGGGCAAUCUCCAGUCGGACUACUUCGUAACCAACGCAACUCGAGACUAUAAUUACUCAUUAUUGGACAAGGAAGGACGAGCUAAAACCACUCAAAUUGCAAGAUUAAGAUUUUGGUGCAUUUUUAAAGCAAAACGGCUACAAGUCUUUCGGGUUUACAUUGCACGAACUUGUGAUUUUCCUUCAACUGUUCUUGGACAUCAUGGAAAAGACCUACACAUUUUUUUCAGGAUGAUGAGUUCUUGCCGAUCAAGAAUUUCUAGGACUGCAUACUAGGCAUUGAAACCCAGGAACAAGAUCGAGAUAUAAACUGUACUGCAAACCUUGUCAAAAUAUUUGCUUUAAAGGGAAAAUACAACAUUUGCAAACAUCAAAAAA